GUCUACGGCCAUACAACUCUGAACACACCCGAUCUCGUCUGAUCUUGGAAGCUAAGCAGGGUCGAGCCUGGUUAGUACUUGGAUGGGAGACCGCCUGAGAAUACCGGGUUGUUGUUAAAA
rnacentral:rRNA from 1 species